GGCUUACUGUUUGCUAUGUUCAUAUAGCAACUUACAUUUUGGCUACGUUCCUAUAGCCUGUACUGAUAUGUUUCAGCUGAUAACGUCUCAGUGGUUGUCACAUCUAUCUGUUUCAAAUUAUUUAUAUUUUUUCUUGUAUAGAGAUCUUGCUCAGAAAAUUGAUACAGGGAGCUGGACUGAGAAGACUGGGCAUGAUAUUGUGGGCUUGCCACACCAGAUCUGUGGAAAUGACUGUGGGAUUUUUAUGCUUAUGUAUACACUCUCCAUUGUGACAGGCACAGGGUUUCAAUUCCAGGAGGUGAGUUGAUUCA